GAUUUGUUGUGAACGAGGCUGUAGAACAAGUUGCAUAUGCUGAUAGGAUUAUAAUGAACAAGAUUGAUCUUGUAAGUCCAGAAGAACUGGAACAACUGACACGGAAGAUUAAGCGAAUAAAUGCGAUGGCCCAAGUUAAGCUGACUAAGUUUGGAUCUGUUGACAUGGACUUUGUAUUAGGAGUGGGUGGAUAUGAUCUUGACAGAAUUGAUUCUCAAGUUGAGGCCGACACUUGUUCUGGAGACCACAAACAUGAAGCUGAACAUGAGCAUCAUAAGGGACACGAUCAUCAUCACGACCAUGUACAUGAUUCUGCUGUGUCUAGUGUCAGCAUUGUUU
rnacentral:misc_RNA from 1 species